AAAAAGAACAGGAACGAUGCAGUUUGCCAAAUGCACAGCAGCCUGGAGAGGAGCUGGGAGCUGGUGGCAGAAGCAGCUACUGGAUACAAAGAGAUGCAGCCUCAUAGGUAGUUUGUGCUUUGACACUUCCCAUCAAAACCUUCCUUAUGCAUAGCAAGGCACCCAACAAAAGGCAUUGGUUCGACACAGAAAGGGUGCAACGGAUGGGGAAGGUGAGGAUUAUGCCACAGCUGUGAUGCUGAAAGGAGUAGCUUGUACUGUCAGGAAAGACUAACACAGGAUUCAGUUCUAAGUUCAUUCUUAAUGAAAUCUGAGUGUUGUAGCAAAUGUGGAUGAAGGGAGAUUUCAACUGGUAUGUACCACAACCAACGAACACUCGGUAGGUUACAAAGCAUUUCCAUCCUAUGGUUUAUACAUUCAUAAUGCUCCCAAAUAGAUAUGGUGAUGGAUCGAUAGAUUUAAAAUAUGUCUGGGUUUUAUUAAUUCAUUAGGGGAGCUCAUAGUUAACCCUUGAAUAAUCAGCUUAAAAGCAGAAGGCAGAUUUUCUGGCAUACGGUUUUCCAUGGACGUUUUGCUGGUCAAAUGCCAAGAUAUAUAACAAUUUAGAUACCCGGUGUGUUUAUUAUCUAGGAUCUAGCAGAGGCUUUAGCCUUCAGUCUUGACAUUUACACAGUGGCAGCUGAAGCCUUUGGAGAAUAGCACCAAACGGAGAUGCUUUAUCCCGCGUACUGGGAAAAGUUUUAUUCUGUUGAUGAUGAAUUGCCCAGUGACGGCACUUUACACAACACAUUGUACAACUGCUUAUUUUGGUGCCUGCUUGUUUUCCCAUUUAAGAGUUUUGGCCACACGUUUGUGUUCUGUUUCAUUUCAUGCUUGCUGCAACCCCCCACAGAUGAGUGCUGCUUCUUGUCUCGUUUUAGAAACAAUUCGCAGCUGAUUAAUUCUCGAAACUCUUGAAACUGAUGAAAACAGUGAACAUUCACUUGUGAGGACUAACUCCAGCUUUAAAGUAUUUCUAGAUGUAGCUUUUAUGUUUGAGAUUUUUGGCAAGGCUUGCAUAAACCUUUUUCUCCAUCAGACGUGGUAGAAGGAGCAGGAAUCGGAGGGCAGACUAUGUCCUGUUGCCUUGAUUUUUUACCCACCACAAUAUCUGCUAUGUCUCAGAUAUCAAGUGUAAACAACAGAGCAGAAAAGUCACUAGGGAUGAUUUCCCCUGUACUAUCCCUCCAGCAGUGGCUGCCAUCAGUAGGGAAGCAAUGACAGAAGAUACUGGGAGAUACAAAUCUGGCCAAGAAAGGACUGCUCAUGCAAGUUCUGCCUGCCUUUCUGGCUUGAGGGGAUCCAGCUCACUUGGGGUUGGUGGCACAGGAGCUGUAUAACCCCCACAAAACACCCUCUGCAGUAGACCGGUUUUGAAGCACCUCUUCACGCUGCAAGCAGCAGGUAAAUGGUUGAAGAUAGGCAAUAUAUCCACCUGCCAGUUUUUUGUUGGUUGUUUUUUUUGGUUGUUUUUUUGGUUCCCAGGUGCUCUUAAUGAAGGUGUUAUGAUGAUGCUCACCUGAGGCCAGGCUGCCCUGCUGGAAGCUGUUGACCUAUCCAGAUGCUUGUGACGGGCUCCUCGUGCUCUGCCAUAGCUGAUCUGAGAUCUGCCAUCAUCCAGCUUUAAGUUGUUUUGCUGGAUCAACGAGCCAACCUGAGUCAUCCUGCCACAGUAAUACGCCUCAGCACGAUGCAGGACACCAGCAGCUAUGCUGAGUUAAGCACAGCCAGAAAAUGAGCCAUCUGUCUGCCAUACCCAUCCCCUUAUGCCACAGCCCCCGGCAAACCACCUCUCUCUCCAAGACGUGGAUUUGCCUGAAACCAUCAAUGCAGCACAAAACAAGGGCCAGGAUCAAAGACAGCACUGAGCCUUAGCUCUCGGUCCACAGUUUUGCAAACAUUUGGAAGACUCAGCCUCAUGUGCCACCUCUGAGACAGGUUUCUUCCCCGGUUAAUUCUCCUCGCUGCCAGGAGAGCGGGAUGUGACCCUCCUGACAUUUGUUUGGUGAAUUAUACUUGCUUUCCGGAGAGCACAAACAAGCUGCUGGACUUCCUCCCCGCAGCCUCAGCCCCAGCCCAGCCCUCUGCAUCCCCUGUGCUGGCCUUACAUUGUCACAACUGAGAUGAGCACUGAGUUACGCCUCCAAAAAUGCCUCUGUGAUUUAAAGCUCUGACUCUACUUUCCAACCACAGUCAAAGAAAUACUGGCACGUAAUUGCCACUGAUGUCCCUCGAUAUGAAACAUCUGACUGUUUUUGAAGAUCUGGUCUGAAGCAUUUGAGAAAGUCAUUUGGAUUUAGAUCUGUAAAUACUGAUGUCACUUCUAAAAAUAGGCCUUGUCCUCCAAAGGUGCCCAGGCACCACACACGCUGCUCCCUUCUGUCCCAUCCGUCUAGAUGACUGGAGUUUGAAGACUAUGAUGAGAAAAAUAUAAGUAACUUCCAUGUCACAACAGCCAGCCCUGAAUGUAAUUACUCAAAAAACCAUAGUCUCAGCUUCUCAGUAAUGUUUGGAAACCAAUAAGAAGCAUCCUCCUUGUUCAUGGGAACAGAAAUUGUAUUCACAUAACAAAGAUAUUAGGUAAGAGGAAGUAUAUUGAGGAACUCAGGAAGUGAAAAGUCUUUCAUUGCUAUAUUAUUGCAAGAGCCAGUACAAAGAAACAUGAUUAGUCGGUUCUUCAGCAGCUUCCUAUUUCCAUCACCAAACUGCUUUAAUCUUUAAGAUACUGAACACUGUGUUUUUUUCUGAGGUUAAUGUGGAAGGGCUUUUGCGUCCAAUAGAGUCGCUGUGCACAGGUGAAAUACAGAAGACGUGAUGAAGGUUAGAUUUCAGCUAUAUCCUCCACUUUCCCACCAUUGCUCUCUUCUCUUUUCAUUUACCCUGAGCCACAACACAUGUUGUUGGAGCCGUUAUUUCUCCUUUGUCUAAUGACCCAAGUUGCCCAUACCAGCUGGGAGUGGUUGUCCCCUGCAGAGGAGACCGGUGGUGGCAGCACUGUGAUGAUAUACCCAGCUGCGGACAGCAAUGGGUCUUGGUUCCAAGGCUGCACCAAAGAGAAGGAAUCAUAGAAUCAUAGACCACAGAAUUGUUUGAGUUGGAUGGGACUUUAAAGGCCAUCUGGUUCAACUCCCCUGCGAUGAAGAGGGACACCUACAGCUACAUCAGGGUGCUCAGAGCCCCAUCCAGCCUGACCUUGAGCGCCUCCAGGGAUGGGGCAUCAACCACCUCUCUGGGCAACCUGUUCCGGUGCCUCACCACCCUUACUGUAAAACACUUCUUUCUUAUAUCCAGUUUAAAUACUGCAGCCCCCUGCUCAGAGGGAGAUUGCCUGUAUUAAGGGGCUGCAGCUAGGGCAGUGCUAGGGAGCAGCUGCACAAUGCAUGACAAUAAGGAUUUUUUUUUAAGUAUUUUCAAAACCAGUGUCUAUUUCCAAGGUAAUUUUUAAUGGAAACUACUUAUCAGCACUGAAGUCAGAAUGGAGGUGGACGUCCUGUUUUCUCUCAGGUUAUUUAUCUUUCCUUCCACUCAAAAAUGAGAACUGAGGGACAGGAGAGCCAGAGCUGAGGAAGAAUGCAAACAGAAAUGUUUUCAGAAGGAAAUCUUCUAUUUAGCUUUCUCAACUGUAUUUUGCAAAUACCUUGGCAUCCUUACAGCAUGAGCCUGUAGAUGGGAUAGGUGUCGAGGCUGGAUUAUUUUACAGCCUACUGGUGCUGCCAGCAUCGCUCUCGCUACUCCCAGAGCCACACACCUUCCCCUGACCUCACCAAUGAUGCUCGACUGCUUACAAGGAAGUAAACAAAAGGGACUCAUGGGGACUUUGGUUCCAUAGAAACAGCAGGGAAAAUGUCCAUGCGUGCCAAGUGGAAAAGGACUAAAUCAGUGGGGAAGGAAAUUUUAUUGUCGUAAGUUCAAAGAGGGUGUUACAAACAAGAGAGUGGGGAAAAAAAAAGGAAAACUUCAGAAAGCAGUCCCCAAAGUAAAACAAAAUACUACUGAUGAAGAUUUGCCUUAGAGCAGUUGUCAAAUAUGAUGUGGUAUUUACAUCAACUGUGACUCAGGCAGCAAUUGCUACUUCCCCUUCCAGCACACCACAGCUCUGCCUGCCCUCCAAGGGCUGCAGCUCACAAUCCCAUGCACAGACUUGGCCCUGGGUGGAGGAAAGCAAUGAAUGGGCGGUGGGACAGGGACAUGCAGCCCCACCAGUCAUGAGUCCAUCAGGACUGGAUGCGGGGGAAACAGCAAACAGCACUGUGGCAGUGGUGGGAGAAAAAGCCCUGCAAAGGAGCAGUGGCUGCAUUCAGGUGGCCCGUGAAUGCAUUCCUGGUCUGUAAUGAGAUCCUGGCCAUGAUUCAAAAGGGGAAUAUACAAAGAACACAAUUAAUUUUAUUAUAAGCCAAAUGCAGGCAUGGCUUUGGAUCUUGCAGAAAGAGAUUUAGGGUUACAAAUGCAGAGGAAUGGUGUAGCUUGGCCACUGGAUUGUUCUCAUUGUUGACAUUGCCAUCUCCAGUUGUGGAAGCCCUUUGUGGGGCUGGCAGCACUAGGGUUCAUAGGACAAGACUGUGGAUGUGCAACAAUCAGCAACACCUGUACGCAUCUAUUUGCUACUGUAGGCUUCAUGAGGGCAAGCUGAGACAAGAUGGGCCACAAACUGCCACCGAGGCACCUACACAGCAUCACUCCAGGCACCUUUUUCCUCCAAAGAGACCCCCAGCUCUUCCCAGUCCCAUGCGGCUGAAGCAGUGACACACUGUUGAAGAAACCAUCAAUUCUGGCAGCCACUCUGGUUAUUUCUAAGCAAAUCACCCUCCUCUUCCUGCUCUGAUAGGAAAAAUCCAAAGAUAGAUCAAGUUUUAGUCAUUUCCACAUCUGAAAGGGCUGAAAGCUGGUGUCUGUGGCCAGUCCUAUGGGGAACAACAACCCUAUGUGCUACAUUCAGGUCCACACCAUGUCAUGUAGCAUUUCAGAGAGCAACGCAAAUAAGGCCAAGUCACAAACCGUACCUAUAUGAGCACCACCUGGUUAGGCUUCUUCCCAGUGCUUCCAGCUUACCAAGCUGGUGGUACAGUCAGGUCUGCAUGCCCAGGGGUCUCCUUCUUGCUGGAGCUUCAGCCAAUUCAGCACUUGCCUGCUGGGAUUUUGACCCUCCCAUCCCCCAUAUGUUUGUUUGAAGAGAUAACUACUUUAUAUAUAUACUUGCUCUUUGGAUGGGGGUGGGGGGAGGGAACCUUUAUUGUUGUCUCCAAGCUUCUGCAGCAUAAAGUUCCAGGAUUCCUCCAUUCCCAGCUGCUGGAUUCAGAAAGCUUUUCCUUUUCAAGCUUCCUG
ensembl:lncRNA